GACGAACGCUGGCGGCGUGCUUAACACAUGCAAGUCGAACGAAGUGGCGAACGGGUGAGUAACGCGUAAUCAACCUGCCCUUCAGAGGGGGACAACAGUUGGAAACGACUGCUAAUACCUCAGACUGAAGGAGGGGAGUGCGUCGGAUUAGCUAGUUGGAGGGGUCACGGCCCACCAAGGCGAUGAUCAGUAGCCGGUCUGGGAGAAUGAACGGCCACAUUGGGACUGGGACACGGCCCAGACUCCUACGGGAGGCAGCAGUGGGGAAGCUUCCGCAAUGGACGAAAGUCUGACGGAGCAACGCCGCGUGAGGGAUGACGGCCUUCGGGUUGGAAAGCUCUGUUAAUCGGGACGCGGUACCGGAAUAGAAAGCCACGGCUAACUACGUGCCAGCAGCCGCGGUAAUAC
rnacentral:rRNA from 1 species